AAAAGUUUUAGCAUUGUGUCUCCGGAUUCUCAUGAGCGGAUCAAACAACAAAAGCUUUCAUUUCCUCCGGAGUUCCCUCGGCACUCUCCGUUUCGGAAAGACUCAGACGUCUGGUCUAGCGAUUGUCACGAUUAAGAUCCGAGUUAUUGCCAAUUUUGUGUCUAAGACAUGAAUGGUUGCCGUGGCUUUCAGUGUGAAGUAGACUUUAGCCCAAUGAAAAGGUUUAGUGAGACGGACAAAUCAAUUAUUUUGAGUGAAAGA
rnacentral:sRNA from 1 species